UACGAAGGGCCCGAGCGUUGAUCGGAUUCACUGGGCUUAAAGGGUGCGUAGGCGGAACGCUAAGUAUCUCGUGAAAUCCCACGGCUCAACCGUGGAACCGCGGGGUAUACUGUCGUUCUUGAGGUCGGUAGGGGCUGUCGGAACUCUAGGUGUAGCGGUGAAAUGCGUAGAUAUCUAGAGGAACGCCAAUGGCGAAGGCAGACAGCUGGGCCGAUUCUGACGCUGAGGCACGAAAGCGUGGGGAGCAAACAGG
rnacentral:rRNA from 1 species